GCUACCAAAUACAUCAAGAACACAUGUAGUUCUUGGAUAUCAACAACAACAUCAUCCAAAAUAAAUACACACAAUAAUAAGGAGAAAAUCUCACUAGACAAGUGUGUAUAGCCUAGAGGAAUGGAGAAGAAUUUCUACGAUCAGCUCCAGUCAAAAUGUAGGUAUCUUUGCCAAGAAUAACAUACUGAAAUAUCAAGAAAAUCGGACUACAAACGAGCCUCGAUCCUUUGGCAAGAAGAGCUGAAAUGUCGGACUCUUUCUCUCGCGUAACUCUCUGCUCCAGAAAAUGAAAUUGGCUUUCCCCUUUUGGAAUGUAUUAAUUCUGCCCCGUUUUCUCCCUAUCUAUAUUUGUAUGUUUUAGUUUGGACCAAACAAAUGGGCCAUUAAAUGCUUGAGCCCAAAUUGGCUAAUAAAAGCCAAGUCCCUCAAAGUGGAGGGAAGGCCCAACAAAUCUCCCCCUCCCGACUACGUGAGGGACUCCACCAAGCCUGCUUCCCUUCUACAUACUUGUAG
rnacentral:lncRNA from 1 species